ensembl:lncRNA
ACUCCAAGGUUAAGGCUCAGCUGUGUGGGCUUCUCCUCCAGGCUCACAGGUCCUGAUGACCCUGACCUCAUCGCGUAUCCCCCAGCAACAGAGGCAAAGGGGGACACAGUGGACUAUGCCCUCAAAACUGGAUGUAUGUCCUGGCCUAGAGGAGGUAGUAAUGGUUCCAAGAGGAGAGCAUGCUCAACUCAUGAACAUUCUUCUGAUUGGUUGGUGAUGAGGGUGUUCUUGCCUGGAGAAUCCCUGGGACAGGGAAGCCUGGUGGGCUGCUGUCUAUGGGGUCACACAGAGUCAGACACGACUGAAGUGACUUAGCAGCAGCAGCAGCAAAGGUUCCAAUAUGGCUCUAUUUGUUGUUCAGUCGCUCAGUCGUGUCUGACUCUUUGCCACCCCAUGGACUGCAACACACCAGGUUGCCCUGUUCUUCACCACCUCCUGGAGUUUUGGACUUGCCAGUCUCCAUAAUCUCAAGAGCCAAUUCCUUAUAAUAAAUCUCUUUCUACAUGUAU